UGGGGAAUAUUGGACAAUGGGCGAAAGCCUGAUCCAGCAAUGCCGCGUGAGUGAUGAAGGCCCUAGGGUUGUAAAGCUCUUUUACCAGGGAUGAUAAUGACAGUACCUGGAGAAUAAGCUCCGGCUAACUCCGUGCCAGCAGCCGCGGUAAUACGGAGGGAGCUAGCGUUGUUCGGAAUUACUGGGCGUAAAGCGUGCGUAGGCGGCCAUUCAAGUCAGAGGUGAAAGCCUGGAGCUCAACUCCAGAACUGCCUUUGAAACUAGAUGGCUAGAAUCUUGGAGAGGUGAGUGGAAUUCCGAGUGUAGAGGUGAAAUUCGUAGAUAUUCGGAAGAACACCAGUGGCGAAGGCGACUCACUGGCCCGGUACUGACGCUGAGGUGCGAAAGCGUGGGGAGCAAACAGGAUUAGAUACCCACGUAGUCCCUGAGCGGGCUGGCAAGGCG
rnacentral:rRNA from 1 species